UCACCCACAAGCAUCUCCCAACAAAUCACAUCAGGCAGUAACACAACAGGCUCACCCACAAGCACCUCCCAACAAAACACAUCAGCCUUUAGCACAACAGGCUCACUAUCAAGUACCUCCAAGAGCCAAACCACAUCAGCCGUUAGCACCACAGGCUCACUAUCA